rnacentral:tRNA from 1 species
AAGGAUUUAAGUUAAUUAAACUCUUAACCUUCAAAGUUAAUAAUAGAUAAAAUUCAUCUAAGCCUUA